rnacentral:rRNA from 1 species
GCUUACGCCACACCGCCUGGUUCACGCCCCGAUCUCGUUUGAUCUCGGAAGCUAAAAUAGGUUGGGCCUGGUUAGUACUUGGAUGGGAGACCGCCUGGGAAUACCAGGUGCUGUAAACU